rnacentral:rRNA from 1 species
UGCAGUGCUGGCUCUUACAAGGGCAUGUGCACGUUGGAAGGCAUAUAUCCAACAUCCUCUUGUGAACCAUUGGCCUUUGCUGGCUUCGGCUGGUCGAGGAUUUACACAAACACGAAUGUAAUGAAAUAAUGUCGUGCUCAGCACUAAUAUACAACUUUCAACAACGGAUCUCUUGGCUCUCGCAUCGAUGAAGAACGCAGCGAAAUGCGAUAAGUAAUGUGAAUUGCAGAAUUCAGUGAAUCAUCGAAUCUUUGAACGCACCUUGCACCCUUUGGUAUUCCGAAGGGUAUGCUCGUUUGAGUGUCAUUAUACUCUCACACUCUCUGAUUAGAGAGCGGUGGACGUGGAUGUUGCCUGGUGCUUGUUGUCAGGCUCAUCUGAAAUGAGUUAGUACGACUCCUAGUUAAACAUAGUACGGCGUUAUAACUAAACCCUCGCUGUUUUUUUGUCUGAUUAGGAGCCUUGUGCUUCGAACCGUCUUCGGACAAUAUCUGAUAACUUUGACCUCAAAUCGAGUAGGAUUACCCGCUGAACUUAA